rnacentral:lncRNA from 1 species
UCUCCCUGACUUGGUCUUCAUCAAAGCUCCCAAAGCUCCCAAAGCACAAAAACACUACCGAAGAUGGUGGCUGAUUGUCCAACCAGCUAAUGAUACCAUCUUCAGAACUAUGGUUUUGGGUUGUUCCCUCCUUGUUCUUGAGGUUGAUUAUGGGCCCCACGUGAUAGAUAGGAGGGAUCUUGCAGUUAUUACCAAGGGACUUAAUUGCAUGUGGUUCCAGCUCUGCGAUCGUGUUGACUAGAAUGGCCUUGGCUUCUUUAAACCUUCGGCAAAUAGAUUGGAGCAUGGUCGAUCCUUCCUUGUUCAGCAUCACCGAAGGCAAAACCUUAGCAGGCACUGGGUUGAUGAAACUCGGGAUAGAUAACUCAACAUCCGUGUCCAUAUACUCGGUAAGGUCCUGGUUAUGUUCAUCUCUAAGACUCAGAUCGUAAAACUGGAGGCCAAGAAAUGCAGCACCUGAAGUGAAGAACACAUAGGUUGGGACCCCAAAUUCAUUUGCCACGUCUAUCAUUGGGGUGCAGAACAUGUCGAUGACGAAGCCAGCGAGCUUAUUAGACUCAGACCGAUUCACAAUUUGUCUGACAGAAUCUCUAACCGGACUCGUCUGACUCUCGAUGAAGCUAGUAAAGAAUGACUUGGGCGUUGAGAUAAGAGACUCGCUCCGAGGGAGGUCCACAAAGACUAUGCGGUUAGGAGCAUCUUUCUGCAAUGACGGAGUGUAGGCAGUCGCACCAGUGUCGUGCGGGAACUUCAUUACAAGGACUGUGAUGGAAAGGCGUUCGUCUCGACUGAUGAGGAGCUUUGCGAUCUUAACUGUAGAUACGAGAUGACCGGCUCCCGGAGAAGGGAUGAAGAUGAGCUCCGCCCCCAUAGUUUUCACUACUUUUAAUAUGACGAUAAGAGGAAGAUGAAUUAUGUACUCAUAAGAUUUGUACGUUAAUGUAACUGCUCCAGUAUGAAGACCUUUACUAUAUACAUACCUUGUGUAUUGGAGGGCAAGGAAACUGAUGUCAUGCAUUUGCUGGCGCUGCCUUGUACCCAUUCACGUAAGAUUUGAUAUUCCCAUAAUUUUAACUAUGUCCAACUUUUCUGUUAAUUGGACAUUAAUCCUUCCCUUUGCAUACCAUGGCUACUGUUAACGCCAAGAUCUUUCUUCACGUCCCAAUCACAAAAGAUGUCCUGAUCCUACACAGUAAACAUGACAAACACCACAAGCUUGACGGCCGGACCGCCGGGGGAUAGCUCAGGCGUAAGAGUAAGUAUGUCUGUUCACAAAGUUAACUCAAGAGGAUAAUAGAAUUUAGUGUAUUGAGAGUGAUUAUUCUAUCUGUUGUGUGAAUGUGUAUAUAUAAAUGAAACGUACCUCCUUGUGAAGACUUACUCACUAAGAAAUAAUAUCCUUGCUUGGAUUAUCGUGCCGCCCACUAUCACCUGACAUAUCCCCCUGACCUGAUGGGUUCGACCGACUGCAUGGAGUUCAUCCACUGCUCUUGGCCACUGUUUGCACCGCCGGCCGACUAUAAUCCCAUCCACAUUAAUGCAUGGCAAAUAUCUUGGUCAACUGUCAUACUAUAUCAUCAUUACAAGUCAAAGUAAUAGAUAUUAAAUGACCCAAUGGGUUAAUCCAACGAACCGACCCGGUCCAAUAGGAUUAAAUAAAGUUGACACAAUAAAUGGGCUCAAAGAGUCCCAUGGCUUAAUUAUAAAAGCCCAACAGAUUAAACUGAUAAAUGGGCCCAAUAUACCCGGCCCAAAAUAGGAGAAAUAUCAUGACCCAACAUUACCCCCUAGUUUUUUAGUUAAACAAGAUGUUUAAUGGAAAACUAUAUAUGAUUCAUGAUAUUUAGAAUUUAAUAAAGGCCCAAGGAUAGGAAAUAAGUGAAUCAUACCCACUUUUAACAUACGAAGUGGAAUAAGGGAGGGCUGGAUAGUGGAUACCCAGAGCAAUAAGCCCAAUCUGAUAAAGGAUUUGAAUUUGAACAGGAUGGGCCAAUAAAAUAGAAAUCCAACAGUCAGGCCCAAUCUGAUAAGAUAUUCAAAGGUCAUCCAAACGCAUUCCACUUUAAUUCUCAUCAUUACUGACAUUAAAUGCGCCGGCCUCGCUCCACGUGUAACCGUCAGUAUAAAAGAUAAACCUCACCAAAUUUGACGGUUUUACCUACUGAUUUGAAAUUCGAACCUUUGAGCUUUCUUCCCUCUCUCAGAAAAACCUCUCUUUAGCUUUCGCAAACUCAAUAAUGGUGAAUCCAAGCCAAACCCCUUCAAGUUCUUCUCGUUCAAACCCUAACCAAGAGGGUUCAAGUGCCAAUCCACCAUCUCCAACUGAUUUCUUCAAAGAUGGGGAACAAUUUCCUCAUGCUAACAUCACCUCCACCGUCUCUGAAUCUAAACUACGAACUCUCCGGAUUCGAUACCAUGUUCCGGAUAACUAUGUCAUGAGGGCUCCAGCUGCUGAGGAGCGAAUGUACCAGCGACCAGACGGCUGGGUCGCUAUGCCGACUACUCUGCUGGAGAAGGGGAUUCGCCUACCCCUCCACGCCUUCAUAGUUACCCUCUUAGGGUUUAUUGGAGUAGGAUUCGCACAACUGGUGCCCAACUCCUAUAUCCAUAUACUGGCGUUCAUCGCCUUCUGCCAUGAAUUAGGGGUUACCCCUUCUGUUGAUCUCUUCUUCACCCUCUUCUCGGCUGGCAGAUCCCGAGAACGAGGGUUCAAAAUGCUGAGUAAACAGUCCCCAUGCCCAAACUCGAAAUUCGAGAAGAGGCCCCUGAUGAGCACCCCCUCGAGCAACAAAGGAUGGCAUGAGAAAUGGUUCUUCGUCACUGGUCCUGGGAUCUCCUCCCUUCCUGAUUGGACCAUUUCGGAGCGUAUCUCUGCUGACUUCGGUGACAUUCCCGAGGAGCGUGUGAGGGAGAUGGGUGACUUCCUGAAUAGGAUCCUCCUCAAGAGUGGAGCUUCACUCUACUGACCAAGCAAGCAUGGUUGUAUGACCAUAAAUAUGAGUCUCGAACCAUUCUGUGAUAUAAUUUUUGAAAUAUUUAUGUGGUACGGAUUUUAACUUGUGAUUAUUUGCAGUGUCUUUGAUCAAACCAACUUCCUCGGAAGUAAAAGACUUGGAAGAUUUCUUGGCGGGGUGGAUUACUGAUGCAAAUGAAGAACUCCCUAAUGAGGAGCCUUCCCGAACCGAACCCCCUGCCCCCGAACCAACAACAACCCCUCUCCGGGAUGAUGACCCUAAAGCUGACAAUCCCAUCAUCCUCGAAGAGGUCCUCCGACCUCGCCGAAGGAAGAAGGCUGCCAAAAAGGCCAGGACUCUUCGCGAGAUAAAUCCUGAAAGCGACGAGGAGGUACUUCCUGAGGUAAACCCACAACCAAUUCCUUCAACUGAACCCACAACAACCUCUGAACCAACCCCACCAAAUUCUGAACCAACCCCAAAAAAGAGGAGUCUCCUUGACAUUCCUCCACAUGAUCGGGCGAAAGUCCUUCGUGCUAAAAAAUUAAGAAGCAAAAUAAUUCCUCUUACCGCCGACGAACUCCGCGUCCCCCCUCCUUCAACAACCAAUCCUUUAAAUGAAACCCCAACACCUAACGCUGAGCCGGUCGAAGCCGACCCUUCUCUGUCCCGAAAAAGAAAAUAGCCUUCGGACGGUCAGCCCGGUUCGACUUCUGAACCUUCUUCAACUCCCGAGCCAAUGCCAGCUCGAUCACCUUCUCCAGAGGCAAUGCAUGCGGAUCCUUCACCGGUUCGCAGUCAGCCUAAGCCUCCUCCUCAAGGACCAAUGACCUCCGAAUUCCAGCAUGACGCCAUGAGUCCACCGACCAUGUGGCCUCGGUUCAACGGCAAUUUCCCCUUUCAACUGUUUGAGGCCUUCGUUCGCGAGACCGAUGACCAUCGGUUCGGGAACAGUUCAAAUGGGGACUUGCUCAGCGAAGGCAUGAGCUACUUGGCUAAGUUAAAUGACUCUUUCCUUCCUUUGCUUACUUAUUUUCAUACUCACACAUCUGAAGCUGAUUGAAUAACACUGAACAUGUACAGGCAAAUGCUGUAUUCGGACGUCUGCGUCCCAGAUCUCUCCAAGCUGAAUCCGAGGAGGAAGCGCUGAAGAAGGAAAAUUCCCUCCUGAAAUCUGCCCUGGCUCGGGAAAGGACUCACCGUGAAGGCCUUCUUCAUACUAACGAAGGUCUUCAGAAAGAGUUGGCCCAAGCUAAGGGAGAAGUGAAGGCCUCCAAGGAAGAACUAAAGUCGACUAAGGCUCAGCAUGCUGAAAUUGUCAACAUGAAUGUCGACUUAGUUCAGAGGAGUGAACUGAGGAUGAAUAAGAUCAAGGAGUUGAAGUCCAACGCCAAAAUCUUGACCAAGACGAUCCGUAAGAUGGAGCAGGAUGAAAAGCUUCAACUGAAUAUACGGCAGCAGCUCGAGCAAGAAAUCCGAGAACUCAAGGCUCUUCGGGACCUUGGGCCUCCUUUGACUGAUGCUCUUCGCAAAGAAAUUUGUGAAGAGUAUAGGAACUCGGACGAAAUAAACGGAGAAAUCAUGAGGAUUCACAAAGAAAGCUACGAGCUCUGCCGAAGUCUUGGCAAGGAAAAGCUGAUCAAGGCUAACUUAGAUCCGUACCUGCUGGACUCUUCGGAUGAUGAUGGCGCUGCAUGAAGCACCAGCUUAUGGAUUGUCUUCGGUCUUAUUAUGAAUAUUUGUAAAAAUUUUAUGUUAUUUCCUUAUUUGUAAAUGAACCAAAUAUUAAUGAAAAAUGAUUUCCUUCCUUAUGACUUCAGUGCACUUUUAUUUUAUGUCAAUACUUCAAUAUGAAUUUAUAUGGACAAGUGUACAAAAACCCCUUCGAGGAUUUAACUUCAAAUAAUUAAGCAUGUCAUAUAACAGAUGAAAUGAGUUUAAAGAACGAGGCAUUCCGAACUCAACACUUAGAAAAAACUCAGGUAAUAAAGUAAAGAGAUACUUAUCAAGUUACCGAAGUGCGAGACAUCUGCUUUAUUGGGAGUUUGUUUACCCCGAAAGGCCUAACAGAACUACAAGAUAACAUUCGCCUACCACGAAGGGCCUGACGAAGUUUAAAGUGUCGAUCAUUGCCUACCACGAAGGGCCUGACAAUGUCUUAAAGAUGACACUUGCCUACCCCGAAGGGCCUGACAAGGUCAAAGUGGCGACAAUUGCCUACCCCGAAGGGCCUGACAAUGCCAAAUAGUGGCGACAAUUGCCUACCCCGAAGGGCCUGACAAUGCCAAAUAGUGACCUCCUGCCAAAAAGGCUACCAUCGAAUGGUCAGCAAGUCCUCCCGAACCUCCUAACACCAAUGAACUGAGUAGCAACAAAGACAAAAUUUGCUUGAGACAAAAAGAGGAUCUUUUAUUGAUGAUGAUGUAAAUAUUUACAGACUUUUGAUGUACUGAUACUGAAUCUACUGAAAGUACUUUCUAAGCCUGCCAGCAUGCCAAGUGUUUUUAAUUACUGACCCAUCUAAUGCUUUCAAACGAUAAGUCCCUGGCUUCGGAACUUCAGUGAUUUCGUAGGGUCCUUCCCAAUUUGGCAUCAGCUUACCCAGGUUCUGAGGCGUAGAUGCUUCGACUUCUCUAAGGACAAAAUCUCCCACUUCAAAUCUGCGAAGCUUCACCCCCUUAUUAUAAUGCUUAGCCACUCUUCGUUGAUAGGCCGCCAAUUUGAUUAAGGCUAUUUCUCUGACUUCUUCCAACAAAUCAAGAUUGGCCCUCAGCCCUUCUUCAUUAUAGACCUCUUGGAAAUGACUAACUCGAAGACUUGGAGACCCAAUUUCAACUGGGACUAAGGCAUCAGUACCAUAAGCCAGUCUGAAAGGUGAAUCCCCAGUUGUAGUCCUCGGAGUAGUUCGAUAAGCCCAUAGUACACUUAGCAACUCUUCUGGCCAUCUGCCUUUAGCUUCGUCCAACCUACGCUUGAUCCCAUUCAGCAGCGUUCUGUUGGUUACUUCAACCUGUCCGUUUGAUUGAGGAUGAGCCACUGAAGUCUUUCUGUGCUGGAUCCCCAAUUCGGUCAAAAAUGCUUCAAACUUCGAUCCCACAAACUGACGUCCAUUAUCCGAUACUACCACCUUAGGAAUUCCAAAACGGAAUACCACUGAUUCUUUCACGAAUUUCAAACACUCCUGUUCCGUUAUUGACCUAAGUGGCUUUGCUUCUACCCAUUUGGUCAUAUAGUCUAUGGCAACUAUAACAAAACUGACCUGACCUUUUGCCUUCGGUAGUGGACCCAGUAUAUCAACCCCCCAGACAGCGAAGGGUAUAGGAGAUAAGAUCGAGUAUAGCUCUUCCGGUGGCUGAUGCGGUAUUGGACUGUUAAGCUGGCACUUCUCGCACCUUUUCACAUACUCAGUUGCUUCCUUGAAGAUAGUAGGCCAGUAGUACCCCUGACGAAGUAUUUUAUAGGCUAAUGACUUAGCAGCCAUAUGGUCGCCACAAAUGCCUUCAUGAACUUCUCGGAGAGCAUAAUCAGCUUCGGAUGGAGUCAAACAUUUUAAUAAAGGAGACGAGAAGGCCCUUCGAAAGAGAUCCCCAUCAAUCAAAACAAAAUUGGCACUCUUGUACUUGAUUUUCUUGGCGAGCAUCCGAUCCGAAGGUAAGACGCCAUCAGCCAAAUAUUCCAGAUAGGGCGUCAACCAGCAAUUGGUUCGGUCAAUGCACAUUACCAUCUCGUGAAUAACACUAGGAUGUUGCAAAAUUUCCAGAUACACCGACCACUCAAAAACAUUAACAUCUAUAGUGGCUAGUUUGGCGAGUGCAUCGGCAAUAGAAUUGUUGUUACGUUCGACCCCCCAAAACUCGUACGAUUGGAAAUACUGAAGCCGUUCCUUUACUUCUUCCAAAUACUUGAUCAUCCUCGGACCUCGGGCUUCGUAUUCUCCAGACAAUUGUUUAACAAUUAACUGAGAAUCACUGAAGAUGGCUAUUCUUUGCACUUCAAGACUCUUUGCUAACCGUAAACCGGCCAAUACUGCCUCAUAUUCAGCUUCGUUGUUCGUCGCUUUGAAUUGAAAUCUGAUGGCUUGCUGCACCUUGAAUCCCUCCGGACUGGUCAAGAUAAUCCCUGCUCCACUGACGUCCAAAGUAGAAGACCCAUCUGCAUACAGCGUCCAUGAACUCUCCUGCUGCUGAAGAACGGCAACUGCUCUGUCAGAUCCUUCAGCUUCAGCUAUGACUUCAUCAGUUUCAGAGAACGAACACUCGACCACAAAAUCAGCCAAGGCUUGCCCUUUGAUGGCGGUUCGGGGAUGAUACUCAAUAAAGAAUUGGGACAAUUCCAUCGUCCACGCAGCUAGCCUCCCCGAUACCUCUGGCUUACCCAUAAUCUUCUUCAGAGGCUGAUCUGUGUAUACUAUUACCAGUCUACCUUGGAAGUAUUGCCUAAGCUUUCGACUAGCAGUUAUUAAAGCGAAAGCAAACUUUUCAAUGUUCGGGUACCUUGUUUCAGCAUCACGAAGGACAUGACUUACAUAAUACACCGGGUGCUGCUUACCCCCAACUUCACGUACCAAGACCGCUCCAAUUGCCAAUGAACUAGCUGCUAGGUACAGAUAUAAAGGUUCGGCAGGAAUGGGCUUCACCAGCAAAGGCGCCGAAGACAAAUAGGACUUGAUGCUUUGAAAGGCGUCUUCACACUCAGAAGUCCAUUGGAACGUUUUUGCAUUUUUCGGCCCUUUCAAUGUGUUAAAAAACGGCAAACACCUUUCAGCAGACUUGGACAUGAACCUCCGCAAAGCUGCAAUCCUUCCAGUCAGACGCUGAACAUCUUUAAAUGACUGAGGAGUCUUCAUGCUCAGGAUCGCUUGAAUCUUCUCUGGAUUGGCUUCAAUUCCUCUUCGACUGACAAGAUACCCCAAGAAUUUGCCAGCACCCAGACCGAAAGUGCAUUUAGUGGGAUUUAGCCUCAAGUUGUGAUGUCGAAUGGUCUGAAAGCACUCUUCUAAGUCAUCCAAAUGUUUGUGCACCAACAUGCUUUUGACAAUCAUGUCAUCCACAUACACCUCAAUAUUUCUGCCCAACUGAUAUCUGAAGAUAUGGUUCAUCAUUCUCUGGUAUGUGGCCCCGGCAUUGAUAAGGCCGAAAGUCAUUUUCUUAUAGGCAUACACCGAACGAUGCGUAAUGAACGCCGUCUUCGGUAUAUCCUCUUUACACAUAGAGAUCUGAUGAUAUCCAGAGAAUGCAUCCAUAAAACUUAAUAAAGCAUACCCCGAAGUGGCAUCAAUGAGUUGAUCGAUGUGGGGCAGCGGAUAGAAAUCCUUCGGACAGGCCUUGUUCAGAUCAGUGUAAUCAAUGCAGACUCGCCAUUUGCCAUUCUGCUUCUGGACCAGCACCACAUUAGCCAUCCACUGCGGGUAGUCUAUCUCGAAGAUGAAAUCAGCUGCCAAAAGUUUUGCAAUUUCAUCAUCUAUGAUUCGCUGACGCUCUGGUGCAAAGAUCCUCCUCUUCUGCCGAACCGGCUUCUUUGACGGGUCUACUUCCAGUCGAUGCUCAGCAAUAUCCCUGCUUACUCCCGGCAUAUCCUGAGGUUCCCAUGCAAAGAUAUCAACAUAACACCUCAGGAGCUCUACGAGGUUCGUCCGGAGAGGUUCCGGCAAGCCCGAACCUAUUUUCACCGUCUUGUCCUCCUUGCCUGGGAUGAGCUCUAUCUCUUCUGUCUCUCCAGCUGGCAUGACCGAUGGUUCAGAGCUACUUUCAGUGAAGGGUUCGAUCUCUAUCGCCAUGGCUUGUUUCUGCUUCGAUACCCCCACUCCCGAAGAAAUAACAGCAUUUCUGUAACACCUCCUGGCCAGAUCCAAAUCUCCUUUGACCUCACCAACCCCAUGAGCCGUAGGAAAUUUGAUUUUAAAAUGAGGAAUUGAUGUUACAGCUUGUAGAGCAAUUAAAGUAGGCCUCCCCAAAAUAGCAUUAUAAGCAGAAUCUACAUGUACAACAUAAAAUUUGCAAAUAAUUUGUACCUGCUGAGGGGCCGUCCCGAAUAUGACUGGAAGCUCAAUGGUUCCAGCCACUUUAACCGGAUCAUUGCUGAAGCCAUAAAGAGGAGCUUUCUGUCCAAUUUCCAUCUUCCGCCCAUCCAAAUUCAUCCUUUGAUAAGCGUGGGCAUACAAGAUGUCUACAGACGAUCCGUUAUCUACCAUCAUCCUUUUCAUAUCUACCGAACCCACUUGUGCAGUAAGCACCAAUGAUCCUUCAUGAGGUUCGAUAAUUUCCGAAGGGUAAUCUUCAUCAGUGAAAGAGAUUACCGUAUUCGGAUAAGGUCUAUCAGUCUUCGGGAAGGUACCCGCCACUGACAUGACCGAAUCCAAAUAGCUUCGGCCCUUUUUUCCAACGAGCUUGCCGGAAGUACCCCCAGUGAUGACAUCUAUAACAUGCCUUGCAGGCUGAUCCGGAGCCGACAACGCUGGCUGAUUAGGUUGAGCCGCCGGGACAGGUACUCGGUCCUGCUGCUGAUUAAUUCGGGCAGCCACAUAUUGAACUAAAGCUCCACCUUACACCUUUCUCUCAAUGAACUCUUUUAAACUGGCACAAUCGUUCAUCUCAUGUCCCGACGCUUGAUGGUAGUCGCAAUACUUGCGGGGAUUUCCCUUUCCGGGCUUGAUGUUAUCUCGUGGUGGCUCGAAAAUAGGUUGAUUCUUGAUCUGAUCUAAGAUAACAGCCCUAUCGGCGUUGAGCGCCGUGAAAGUCCUGUUUACUCUAUGGGGUGGAGCAGACGAAUGUCUUCCACCCUGCCUCCAAUUGUUAUACGACCCACCUUCAUGACGGUCUUUGUGUCCUUCACUCUUCUUCUGGUCUUCAUCAGUUUUGUCUCGAUCCGUAUCUCUGGACCGAUCUAAAGAAGGACGUUUGAGGCUACUCAUGGCUUCUUCCACUACGAUAUAGCCUUCAGCUUUAUCAAAGGCUUCGGCCAGACUCUUCGGGUGGUUAAACAUAAGUUUUUUUACCAACUUUUCUGACUUGACCAGAUCCAGCCCGUUCUGAAACAGUCCCACCGCUUGUAGAUCAUUCAGCUCCGCCACUUGACCGACUGCUUCUCGGAACCGCUUCACAUACUGGCCCAAAGAUUCAUUAGAGGAUUGCCGAACCUGAGCCAAAGAACCAGUUGGCUUUCCCCUUCUUCGGUUGCUCCCAAAACGUGCAUGGAAUUUACUGCACAUAUCUUCCCAGGAUGAGAUAGAAUCUGAAGGUAAGGUCCCCAUCCACUGCCGGGCAUCCUUUCUAAGAGUUGUGACAAAAGUAUGACAUUUAGCGGCAUCACUAAAGUCAUAAUAAUCCAUGAGUCAGUCAAACGCCUGACUAUGGUCAUAAGGGUCCCCCGAUCCAUCAUAACUUUCUAUAUGGGGCAACUUCUUCGUGGGGUCAGCUUUUUCUUUGAGAAUAUCCGUAGAAAAAGGAGAUGCCUUCUUUGCCGGAAUGUCUUUGGUUUUCUGGACUUCGGCAAGCUGCUUCCGAAGCUCUUUCAGUUCUUUAACCAGAUAUUCCACGCCUUCUGGUUGAGAUGACGCCUCUUUCUACGGUGACCCCUUCUUCUUAUAAGCGGACCGGAUUCUUUCACCAGAACCUUCAAUUUUAGAGGGGCUUCUCCGAUGACGAGUGUCUACAGGGCGGGAUGCCCUCAGUAGACUCUCGGGAGUAUGUCCUCUGGAUACACUUCGACUCUGAACUCGGACACUAUGGUGAAAAUGUGCAAUGAUAAGUGCUCUCUUUGCAUGCCCUGGAGUACGAUCCCUGGAUCGACCUCUUCUCUCGCUUUGUCCCUGCUCUCCGGAAUUGGCAGGAUAACGAGUUUUCCUUGAUCUCUGAGGAGUAGGGCUUCGGGACCUUCUUCUUUCCCUAUUUCGACCCAGAGACUGUCGCCCUGAAUGAACAGGCUCUUUCCCACUCCGAUGCCCUUGCUCUUCGGAUUGGGCAUAGCUGAGCUCUUCACCUCUCAAUUCUGCCAUCCGAGCCAUCUGCUCGGCUAUAUCUUGACGCUGCUUCAAAAGUACUUCCAUGGCCUUAUCCGCCUCAUCCGCCAUUUUAGCCAACCGGGAGGCUUUUGCGUCCUGGUCAUCUCGGUAUCGAGUUCUAGGCGAGGUGCCUUCUACUCGUUUUCGAACAUGGCCAGACCCCUUCUCCGUAGGGUAAACUAGCUUACGUUUUGCUUUGCCUACUGCCUUCGGUCGAGAAUGCUCAGGUGACCGUUUAGACGCCGUGCUAGCAUGCACACUUAUGGUUGGUCCCAAACGAUCCUUGGCAGAUACUCGCGGUAAUGACUCACUGANNNNNNNNNNNNNNNNNNNNNNNNNNNNNNNNNNNNNNNNNNNNNNNNNNNNNNNNNNNNNNNNNNNNNNNNNNNNNNNNNNNNNNNNNNNNNNNNNNNNUAAAUUAUUUUCAGGUGCAAAAAUAUAAUCUUCUCUGUAAUCCAUUUUGAUCUCCACAGCCAUUCCCAACUCCUUCACCAACUCAAACGCAUUGAUUUGCUGCUCUGCAUAUAUAGGCCAAGUAGCCAUUGGAACCCCACACCAUAUACUCUCCAAUGUAGAAUUCCAUCCACAAUGAGACACGAAUCCUCCCACAGCAGGGUGGGAAAGAAUCGCCGUUUGUGGCGCCCAUCCGAUCACCUUCCCCAUCCCUGAUGUUCGUUCUAUGAAUCCUUCUGGCAACACUUCUUCGGGAUUCUCAUAGUCUUUAGGCAAUUCCAUUUUUUCUGGCCGCCGGCGUAGAGACCACAAGAAUCGCUGUCCACUCUGCUCCAAUCCGUGUGCUAUCUCCCUGACUUGGCCUUCAUCAAAGCUCCCAAAGCUCCCAAAGCACAAAAACACUACCGAAGAUGGUGGCUGAUUGUCCAACCAGCUAAUGAUACCAUCUUCAGAACUAUGGUUUUGGGUUGUUCCCAGCUUGUUCUUGAGGUUGAUUAUGGGUCCCACAUGAUAGAUAGGAGGGAUCUUGCCGUUAUCACCAAGGGCCUUAAUCGCAUGUGGUUCCAGCUCCGCGAACGUGUUGACUAGAAUGGCCUUGGCUUCUUUAAACCUUCGGGAAAUAGAUUGGAGCAUGGUCGAUCCUUCCUUGUUCAGCAUCACCGAAGGCAAAACCUUAGCAGGCACUGGGUUGAUGAAACUCGGGAUAAAUAACUCAACAUCCAUGUCCUUAUACUCGGUAAGGUCCUGGUUAUGUUCAUCACUGAGACUCAGAUGGUAAAACUGGAGGCCAAGAAAUGCAGCACCUGAAGUGAAGAACACAUAGGUUGGGACUCCAAAUUCAUUUGCCACGUCUAUCAUUGGGGUGCAGAACAUGUCGAUGACGAAGCCAGCGAGAUUAUUAGAAUCAGACCGACUCACAAUUUGUCUGACAGAAUCUCUAACCGGACUCGUCUGACUCUCGAUGAAGCUAGUAAAGAAAGACUUAGGCGUUGAGAUAAGAGACUCGUUCUGAGGGAGGUCCACAAAGACUAUGCGGUUAGGAGCAUCUUUCUGCAAUGGCCGAGUGUAGGCAGUCACACCAGUGUCAUGCGGGAACUUCAUUACAAGGACUGUGAUGGAAAGCCGUUCAUCUCGACUGAUGAGGAGCUUUGCAAUCUCAACAGUAGAUACCAGAUGACCAACUCCCGGAGAAGGGAUGAAGAUGAGCUCCGCUCCCAUAGUUUUCACUAAUUAAUAUGAUAAGUGGAAGAUGAAUUAUGUACUCUUGACUCUUGAGAUUUGUAUGUUGCAACUGCUCCAGUAUGAAGACCUUUACUAUAUACAUACCUUGUGUAUGGAGNNNNNNNNNNNNNNNNNNNNNNNNNNNNNNNNNNNNNNNNNNNNNNNNNNNNNNNNNNNNNNNNNNNNNNNNNNNNNNNNNNNNNNNNNNNNNNNNNNNNNNNNNNNNNNNNNNNNNNNNNNNNNNNNNNNNNNNNNNNNNNNNNNNNNNNNNNNNNNNNNNNNNNNNNNNNNNNNNNNNNNNNNNNNNNNNNNNNNNNNNNNNNNNNNNNNNNNNNNNNNNNNNNNUUGGUCAACUGUCAUACUAUAUCAUCAUUACAAGUCAAAGUAAUAGAUAUUAAAUGAUCCAAUGGGUUAAUCCAACGAACCGACCCGGUCCAAUAGGAUUAAAUAAAGUUGACACAAUAAAUGGGCUCAAAGAGUCCCAUGGCUUAAUUAUAAAAGCCCAACAGAUUAAACUGAUAAAUGGGCCCAAUAUACCCGGCCCAAAAUAGGAGAAAUAUCAUGACCCAACACCUACCAUAUACAUAAUAAAAGGAUCCGAUUAGCAUGAAAUUUAUUUUUUGAUAAGUUGGUCAGUUGACCAAUAAAAUACUGACACAAAUAAAAUUUCGUCUGCGUGUCAACAUUCUAUUAAUCAAUUGACUAAUUUAUUCAAAAAUAAACUUUGUGAUAACCACUUUUCAUAAUAAAAUGAUUGACACUAAAGUUUAACAUGACAUGGUGAAAAAAUACAUGAAUCAAAAUGAAAUGAAUGAAUGAUAAAUUCUUUUAUAAUCAUGAAAAGACGUACACCACCCAAUCUUAGAUGAUGAAAGAGAAUGCUACUUGUAGAUUCAUUACUGUCAAAUGCAUACUAGAUACUGAUAAUUGUCCUCUUGCAAUUCAGGUGGGACCAUGCACAAAUAAAGUCUCUUGUAUUCAUUUCUGUCUUUUCAAUUCUUUAGUUGUUUUCAUUCCAUCUAAUCAUCCAAUUAGAAAACUGAAAGCAACUGUCAUACAUGUGGACUAAAUUAAUUAGCCCCCAGUAACGUAACGUAACGUAACUGCAAGAUGAUUACUGUUUGGAACCAAUGCCGAAUUAAUGUUUCCAAGUAUCCAUUAUAUGUAUAUAUAUAUAAAUUUUUAAAAUUAAUAAUUUGUAUAUAUACAAUUAUGUAUUUAUUUAAGUUAUUUUAUUAUAAAUUUAUGUAUAAUAUGUUGUUACUAUAGAAAUAUUGCAUGUUGUUUGAUUUUAAAUUAAAAAUAAUUGUAUAAAGUAAUUAAAAUAAAUAAAUAAAUUUAAUUUGAAAAAAAGGAGAUUAAUUGGGUAAAUUUAACUUGUUGCUUGUUACACUAUUAACAAUUGUUAAUUUUAUUAUUAACAAUUUCAUUUAGUUGUUGCUUCCUAAGCACAAAUUGCCGUUCAUUUCAUAGCCCCACUGUAAAAUAUUUGUCAGAGUUCAACCACCCAUGGACAUUAUUACUCCAUCCUUUACAAAAUAAAUCAUCAAUAAAUUGCAGACUACUACUCUACUAGUAUUAUCUGAGUUGCUCAAAAAAUAACCAUAUGUUACUCCCUCAGUCUCAAAUUAAUCGUUCAAUUUUGAUUUUUCAAAAUUAAAUUGAUCAUUUUUAAAACUAAUCUUUUUAUUAUUUUUAUUAAAAUAUAAGUGAAGAGAUUAUAACUAAAAAGAAAUAUAUACAAUUUAUUACUAACCCCAAUUUUUAUAAUUUUAGAAAUAUAUUUAUAUAUGCUUAAUUAUUAAUUUUAAAAAUAAUCAAUUUAACUUAAAAAAAUUAAAACUGAACAAUUAAUUUAGGACGGAGAGAGUAUAUAAUAAUAACCACUAAAAUAAAAUUGUAGACUACUUUAUCUUUCAUAAUAUAUUAAAACUUUCUUUAACUUCAAUAUUAAAUUCAAUUACUAUAGACUUGACCAACUUUAUCAUCUUUCAUGUAGAAAACAAGAAAUACAAGGUAAAAGUCUUGAUGAACAGAGUGUAGACUGCCUGCUUCACAUUACCUGAAUCAAGCCAUAAUUUGAUAGAUGAUAAUUCAUUUAUGCGCUUUCCUGGAUGUUAAUUAAUUACCCAUGACAUCCUCAAAAAAAUGCCCGAGUGAAAUAUAAGAAGACCCGCCCUCCACCAUGGCCAUUCUGCUCUUCUCUUUCAUCUCUUCCACCUUCUUCCUCAUUUCACUCUCUCCAUCCAUCAUCAGACAUCGCAUUCCUUUCUCUAUCUGGUCUGCAGUCACAACUAAAUUAUUUUCAGGUGCAAAAAUAUAAUCUUCUCUGUAAUCCAUUUUGAUCUCCACAGCCAUUCCCAACUCCUUCACCAACUCAAACGCAUUGAUUUGCUGCUCUGCAUAUAUAGGCCAAGUAGCCAUUGGAACCCCACACCAUAUACUCUCCAAUGUAGAAUUCCAUCCACAAUGAGACACGAAUCCUCCCACAGCAGGGUGGGAAAGAAUCGCCGUUUGUGGCGCCCAUCCGAUCACCUUCCCCAUCCCUGAUGUUCGUUCUAUGAAUCCUUCUGGCAACACUUCUUCGGGAUUCUCAUAGUCUUUAGGCAAUUCCAUUUUUUCUGGCCGCCGGCGUAGAGACCACAAGAAUCGCUGUCCACUCUGCUCCAAUCCGUGUGCUAUCUCCCUGACUUGGCCUUCAUCAAAGCUCCCAAAGCUCCCAAAGCACAAAAACACUACCGAAGAUGGUGGCUGAUUGUCCAACCAGCUAAUGAUACCAUCUUCAGAACUAUGGUUUUGGGUUGUUCCCUCCUUGUUCUUGAGGUUGAUUAUGGGUCCCACAUGAUAGAUAGGAGGGAUCUUGCCGUUAUCACCAAGGGCCUUAAUCGCAUGUGGUUCCAGCUCCGCGAACGUGUUGACUAGAAUGGCCUUGGCUUCUUUAAACCUUCGGGAAAUAGAUUGGAGCAUGGUCGAUCCUUCCUUGUUCAGCAUCACCGAAGGCAAAACCUUAGCAGGCACUGGGUUGAUGAAACUCGGGAUAAAUAACUCAACAUCCAUGUCCUUAUACUCGGUAAGGUCCUGGUUAUGUUCAUCACUGAGACUCAGAUGGUAAAACUGGAGGCCAAGAAAUGCAGCACCUGAAGUGAAGAACACAUAGGUUGGGACUCCAAAUUCAUUUGCCACGUCUAUCAUUGGGGUGCAGAACAUGUCGAUGACGAAGCCAGCGAGAUUAUUAGAAUCAGACCGACUCACAAUUUGUCUGACAGAAUCUCUAACCGGACUCGUCUGACUCUCGAUGAAGCUAGUAAAGAAAGACUUAGGCGUUGAGAUAAGAGACUCGUUCUGAGGGAGGUCCACAAAGACUAUGCGGUUAGGAGCAUCUUUCUGCAAUGGCCGAGUGUAGGCAGUCACACCAGUGUCAUGCGGGAACUUCAUUACAAGGACUGUGAUGGAAAGCCGUUCAUCUCGACUGAUGAGGAGCUUUGCAAUCUCAACUGUAGAUCCCAGAUGACCAACUCCCGGAGAAGGGAUGAAGAUGAGCUCCGCUCCCAUAGUUUUCACUAAUUAAUAUGAUAAGUGGAAGAUGAAUUAUGUACUCUUGACUCUUGAGAUUUGUAUGUUGCAACUGCUCCAGUAUGAAGACCUUUACUAUAUACAUACCUUGUGUAUGCAGAGGGCAAGGAAACUGAUGUCAUACAUUUGGUGGGACUGCCUUGUACCCAUUCAUGUAAUAUUUGAUAUUCCCAUGAUUUUGACUAUUUCCAAUUCUCACUGCAGACGCUUUUAUGUUAACUAGUUGGUAGCCCAUGCAACGCACGGGCUAGUUUGAGUAACAAAUUAUAUAAUUUAUUAAAAUUACAAUGAGAAGAAUAUUUUUUUAUAAUACAUUAUUUUUAUAUCUACAUGUAAAAUCUUUU